UUAAAUGUUUAUUGAUAUCAAUUUCCAUCUGAAUUAUUACCUUUUCGGACUGCUUUAUACUAGUCGUUCUGGGCCUAUAAUGAUGGGUUAGCACUCUUAUAGGAAGCAAAAAGUCUGCCCAAGAAAAAUUUUGAGACCCAGGAGGGGCCAUGGCCCCCCUUCAUCCAAACAUAGGCCCACCCUUAGAUCCAUCUUUUAAGUUGAUAGUUUGCAUAAUGCUGUUCUGAUAUUUUGUUCUGGCCCUAGAUGUAUGUAUGACAUGAUACUAGGAAAGAAGUAAAUAAGAAGUUACAGGUUUCCACUGCCUAAUGAAAAAAUAAAGAUGAGUUGGGAAAAGUUUUAGUUGUUGACACAUGUAUGGAAAUGUAAGCAUGGGGAGACAUGAUUGGUUUUAUGAGGUGUACCAUUGAAGUAUUAUAACGAUUAUUCAGUGAAUUUACUAUCAUUCCUAUUUUCAUGUCUUUGUUUUUCUAUAGUUAUAUUUCCUUUUGAUGUAAUUUUGUUUAUUGUAUGUUCUGCUUUAUUUUCUAUUGUUUAUUAUUCAAUUUUUAUCUGCAUUAUUCUACUUCUUGACAGAUAGAAACUGUGACAUAAGUUCACUGUUCUCGUGCAUAUAUAUAUAUUCUCUUUCAAUGUCUGAUUACAGGACGGUGUUAAUAUCUUGGCUGUUAAUUAUGGUUCUCCUGGUGCAUGUCCAUAUCCUCGGCAAUUGAAACUUGCUGCUGCAGUCAACACUUCUCCAAGAGGGAAGAAGCUGACCCAAUUAGCCAAACUCAAGUGUUUGGAAUCGGUUUCAGGGCUACCCUACUGGGGGCUUAUAUCCCCUUAAUAAGCUUGUUCUUAGAAAAUAUGGUAUCUAACAAAUUUUAAUCUUGGGAAUGAUUAGAUUUUUAACUUUUCAAUUUUGAUUGUGAGGUGUUGUGGCUCAACAUGAUGUUUUAAUUUGUUAUGAAUUCAUUUGUUUCAACGAUGUACAAGAAAAAAAUUCAUAUUUUUCAGCUCUAAAGCGAAUUAUAUCAAAUCAAUGGAGUAGAUAGGUCAGGAGGGUCAGGCUUUGGUUGGCCAAUUAUAGUGGUCCUUGGGUUCUGUAUCAAACCUUCUAACAUGACUGAUAAAUUGGUCAGGUUUUGGUUAACAUUAUGGUUCUUACAAAGAUUUCUCAGCCUUACAAAACCCACUUGGAGCCUCUGUUGCGAUGAGCAUCCAGUUUUUAUUGUUCUCCAUGCUGUAUGAAUAUUAUUUGAGCAUGUUUGACCCAAUUUUAAUUGAGCUUGGUCUGAUCUAAUUUUGGAGUUUUUAUGGCAGCAUGAACUGCAUGGCACGGAGUGGUGCUUGCUUGAGUCUUAACACUUUUUUGGCAAAUUGACAGUAUCAUUUCUCAAUUACCACUUAGCUUGCUUUCAUAUAUUAGAUUAUAACUUCUGUUUUUCAAUUACAUUUGGAACAGGGAAUAUAUGGUUAUCCAAUUGAGAUCCAGGCCCUUUUCUUUUUUGCACUGAGGUGUGCACAACAAAUGUUAAAACCAGAGGGUGGUGGCAAGGAAUUGAUUGAGCGGAUUGACAAGAGGAUUACAGCCCUGAGCUUCCACAUACAAAAUUACUACUGGCUUGAUUUCACUCAAUUGAAUAUUGAAUUUGAACAUGUACAGUUUAAUUAUUCUUUGUAAAAUAUUGAAUUUGAUGGUUUGAUCAAUUUUUAUUUUUAUUUUCUGUUAUGAUGUUUUUGUGAAUGGAAUGUAAAUAAUCAGCUCUUAGUGAGUGAGAGACGGCACCACCGUCGGAAAAAAUAGAAAAUUUUAAUAUUUUUAUUAAUUUUGUUA